CUACGGGCGGCACCAGUGGGGAAUAUUGCACAAUGGAGGAAACUCUGAUGCAGCAACGCCGCGUGGAGGAUGACACUUUUCGGAGCGUAAACUCCUUUUAUAUAGGAAGAAGAUGACGGUACUAUAUGAAUAAGCGCCGGCUAACUCCGUGCCAGCAGCCGCGGUAAUACGGAGGGCGCAAGCGUUACUCGGAAUCACUGGGCGUAAAGAGCGUGUAGGCGGAUUAAAAAGUCAGAAGUGAAAUCCUAUAGCUUAACUAUGGAACUGCUUCUGAAACUCUUAAUCUAGAAUAUGGGAGAGGUAGAUGGAAUUUCUGGUGUAGGGGUAAGAUCCGUAGAGAUCAGAAGGAAUACCGAUUGCGAAGGCGAUCUACUAGAACAUUAUUGACGCUGAGACGCGAAAGCGUGGGGAGCAAACAGGAUUAGAUACCCCCGUAGUC
rnacentral:rRNA from 1 species